rnacentral:rRNA from 1 species
AGCGAACGCUGGCGGCAGGCCUAACACAUGCAAGUCGAACGAACCUUUCGGGGUUAGUGGCGGACGUGUGAGUAACACGUGGGAACGUGCCUUUAGGUUCGGCAUAACUCAGGGAAACUUGUGCUAAUACCGGAUGUGCCCUUCGGGGGCAAGAUUUAUCGCCUUUAGAGCGGCCCGCGUCGGAUUAGCUAGUUGGUUGAGGUAAUGGCUCAUCAAGGCGACGACCAGUAGCUGGUCUGUGAGGAUGAUCAGCCACAUUGGGACUGAGACACGGCCCAAACUCCUACGGGAGGCAGCAGGGGGGAAUCUUGCGCAAUGGGCGAAAGCCUGACGCAGCCAUGCCGCGUGAAUGAUGAAGGUCUUAGGAUUGUAAAAUUCUUUCACCGGGGACGAUAAUGACGGUACCCGGAGAAGAAGCCCCGGCUAACUUCGUG